GCCUGCAUGAAGUUGGAAUUGCUAGUAAUCGCGGAUCAGCACGCCGCGGUGAAUACGUUCCCGGGCCUUGUACACACCGCCCGUCACACCAUGAGAGCUGCGAACACCCAAAGCCGGUAGCCUAACCGCAAGGAGGGCGCUGUCUAAGGUGGGCGUGGUAAUUGGGGUGAAGUCGUAACAAGGUAGC
rnacentral:rRNA from 1 species